rnacentral:rRNA from 1 species
GACGAACGCUGGCGGCGUGCUUAACACAUGCAAGUCGAACGGAAAGGCCCUGCUUUUGUGGGGUGCUCGAGUGGCGAACGGGUGAGUAACACGUGAGUAACCUGCCCUUGACUUUGGGAUAACUUCAGGAAACUGGGGCUAAUACCGGAUAGGAGCUCCUGCUGCAUGGUGGGGGUUGGAAAGUUUCGGCGGUUGGGGAUGGACUCGCGGCUUAUCAGCUUGUUGGUGGGGUAGUGGCUUACCAAGGCUUUGACGGGUAGCCGGCCUGAGAGGGUGACCGGCCACAUUGGGACUGAGAUACGGCCCAGACUCCUACGGGAGGCAGCAGUGGGGAAUAUUGCACAAUGGGCGGAAGCCUGAUGCAGCAACGCCGCGUGCGGGAUGACGGCCUUCGGGUUGUAAACCGCUUUCGCCUGUGACGAAGCGUGAGUGACGGUAAUGGGUAAAGAAGCACCGGCUAACUACGUGCCAGCAGCCGCGGUGAUACGUAGGGUGCGAGCGUUGUCCGGAUUUAUUGGGCGUAAAGGGCUCGUAGGUGGUUGAUCGCGUCGGAAGUGUAAUCUUGGGGCUUAACCCUGAGCGUGCUUUCGAUACGGGUUGACUUGAGGAAGGUAGGGGAGAAUGGAAUUCCUGGUGGAGCGGUGGAAUGCGCGGAUAUCAGGAGGAACACCAGUGGCGAAGGCGGUUCUCUGGGCCUUUCCUGACGCUGAGGAGCGAAAGCGUGGGGAGCGAACAGGCUUAGAUACCCUGGUAGUCCACGCUGUAAACGGUGGGUACUAGGUGUGGGGUCCAUUCCACGGGUUCCGUGCCGUAGCUAACGCUUUAAGUACCCCGCCUGGGGAGUACGGCCGCAAGGCUAAAACUCAAAGGAAUUGACGGGGCCCCGCACAAGCGGCGGAGCAUGCGGAUUAAUUCGAUGCAACGCGUAGAACCUUACCUGGGUUUGAUAUGGAUCGGGAGUGCUCAGAGAUGGGUGUGCCUCUUUUGGGGUCGGUUCACAGGUGGUGCAUGGCUGUCGUCAGCUCGUGUCGUGAGAUGUUGGGUUAAGUCCCGCAACGAGCGCAACCCUUGUUCACUGUUGCCAGCACGUUAUGGUGGGGACUCAGUGGAGACCGCCGGGGUCAACUCGGAGGAAGGUGGGGAUGACGUCAAGUCAUCAUGCCCCUUAUGUCCAGGGCUUCACGCAUGCUACAAUGGCUGGUACAGAGAGUGGCGAGCCUGUGAGGGUGAGCGAAUCUCGGAAAGCCGGUCUCAGUUCGGAUUGGGGUCUGCAACUCGACCUCAUGAAGUCGGAGUCGCUAGUAAUCGCAGAUCAGCAACGCUGCGGUGAAUACGUUCCCGGGGCU